CUUUUCAGAUUCAUUUCAGAUUCAAUUAAUGCCAUUAUAAUUAAAUUGUAGGAUAUCUGUUUUAUAGACAAAUCGCCUUCAACACUAAGAACCCAACUGACAGCCUUUGGACCAUUUCAGGAAUAAAUCAUCCACAAUGACGAGGAAUUUAUUAUAAUAGCUCGGCUGAAAUGUUGAUGCGAAAUUUGCUAAAAAGCUACUGUUUCAUUUUGUUGGAAGGAAAGGGUUGGUUUGAAAACAUAACAAACGCUGAGGAUAGAAAGUGCUUCAUUUACAUUUGGCUUUCUCGUUGUAUUCAUCAAUCAAUCUCAGCAUGAUUAUUAUGAUACCAGAUUUGAAACAAUCUUUAAGCUGCCAACUAAAACCAAUUGGACAAUGGUUGAGUCGCGUUACAAAAGUCAAAUGAAUCUUGGGGAAAACAUGGAUAUCAGACUCAAUGGUAGAGAGAAAUAACCAUUAAGUGCUGGUUAAGAUGAUUUAAGGAAUAACAAUAACAAAUGUUUAAUACAAAAAGAUAAUCAAACAAAUAGAAGUGGAUUGGAGCCAAUGUGAAAACGGUUUUGUGAGAAAGUUGAAAAAGCGUCAUCAGGAGACAUUUUUUCCAACAAACUGAUUCCAAUUCAUUUUCACUCAAGACCUUGUCUGUGUUAUUUCUCUUCUACAUGAUCUAUCAUUUUCGUUAUUCUUAAUUUUAUUUGCUUAACCCUAUCCUCCAUGAUCGUCAUCUUCACCUUCUCAUUUUUGCAACAGUCUCUAUGGAUUCCCAACCAUCAACCAAUUUAAUCUCGAGCUCUCACCUGAGUCAUGUUUAAUGUUAUAUUUCAAUUGCUAGUGCUACUUUGAUUGGACAUUGCAAUAUUUCAUCAUUUCGUUCUUUCGUUCUGUUUCUCACUGUGAUAUUUGCAACAAACCCGCAAUAAUUAACCAUGAGAUCAGUAUUUUUAUACAUUCUUUGCCUGCUUUUUGCAUAUUUAUUCAAGCCAGGUGACUUUACUGGUUGUCGAUUUAUGGUUGACAAUUGUGAUGAAGAUUGCCACGAUAUCUGCAAAGCAACCUGUGCCAAAAAUUUUGGUGUUUGUGCUGAAGAGGAAAGGAUAAGUUACUGUUAUUGUUUUGAAACAAAACCAAAGGAAAAAUGGAUACAUGAUUGGACAACUGAUAAGGAAUCACCAUCUCAAUCUUUAUCAUCCCACGGAGAUCAUCACAAUUCUGGUUCUAAGAGGGCUUCUGAUUUAUGACAGCUAUCAAAUUUAAUUUCAGAUUUUUGUCUGUUAUUGUUGUUUAUCUCUGUGAGUCCUGUUAACCUGUUCAAAAACUAUUGAGUAAAUUUGCCUUUCGUUUUUGUCUCUUUA